rnacentral:lncRNA from 1 species
AUCAGUAAUAAUUGCUGAGCAACAGUUUUUCAUGAUCUGUUUAGCGAACAGACUUAAAACUGUUUCAUCCGUUUUGUCAUAACAAAAGCUUUUUCAAUCAAUUAUUUUUAUUUAAAUUAAUAUAGACGAAACCGAGCCAGCAUGAUGAUAUCAAUAAGCAGAAAUUCUUCAUGUCAUAACGAGUGCAAAAUAUUCACAAAGUAUGCGCUAAUUGAUCAGAAACAUUGGGCAUCUCUGCCAAAUUGUUUCGAGAAAAUUAUCGGAGAUCCAAAAAUCUGAAUUGAGUAUACUGCUAUAUAAAAUUCUUACAUAACGGUGCAACUGUAUAGAAAAAAAGCCAUUAAAAUACUACUUUGCGUUUUAAGGAAAGGAAAAAAUUUCAAACACGAAAACUUACCUGUACAUUAUUUCGACACAAAAUAAUAUCCAACAUUCAUUGUUUUUAAAAUAGAUAGUUAUUAUUGGAGAGAAUGCGUAUUUUCGCAAUAAUUGAUUAUAAUAGUAAUAAAACCUGCUUAACGACUAUCAGUUAAAGGUUGAAAUUGCAUUUAUUUGUGGAAAAUAAAAAUAACAUCUAUUUGAAAAACAAAAGUUUUCUGUCUCAGGGUACAAACUUUGAGAGUUGAGAGCCAGAGUAUAUGAAAAUAUUUUCCAUCAAUAAUUUGAACUUCAUAUAAAAUAUAGUUGGACAUAUAGUUUAAAGUUUUUCCAUAUUUGUCAUGGUUUUGCAGAAAAAUGCUUGGUCUUCAGUUAAACAAUACAAUAUCCUCAAGUUAUUUACUGCGCAGUUUAUUUAGGUGCCUAUAUGAGUCUCUUUUUUGUAUAUUUUACGCUCCUUUCCAAUCAGGGAGAUUGCUAAGGGACGGGACCAAUUCCAGCCACGGACUGCACCAUACCCGUACAGCUGGUGGUGAACGACAGGGAUCGGCGGGCCUGACCCAGCAUCUCGAAAAAACUUAUCAGGAGUUACCAGGCCCGGGAUGCGAGCCCGAGUCUUCCUGUGGGGCACACCAACUGCGUUAACCACUCGGCAUCCGGUCGCGCCUAUAUGAGUUUUUCAUUAUCAACAGAUAAUGCCACUUUUCUGGAAGAAUACUACAUAAAAUAUAAUAUAAACGUUUUAUUAAUUAUUUAAAAAACAGCAGAUUUUUUUAAAAUACAGUAGAUAACAAUAACAAUAUCAUCGAGUAGGUUGGCCGGAUCGGCCGCAUUGAAACGCUUCACCUUUCCACUCUGAAGGACGGGUUCGAGUCUCGGGUCCCACCCCAUGAAAAUAUUUAUCAUGGGGUCCGGACUCGGCCCAUCGAUUCCUGCA